ACUGACGCUGGCCGCGAGGCUAACACCUUCCAGGUCGGCGGAAAGGCCCUUCGGGGUUCUCGCGGGGCGAACGGGAGGGGUAAACGUUGGUAACCUGCCCCCGACUUUGGGAUGACCCACGGAAACGGGGGCUAAUAACGGAUACGUAACAGCUUCGCAUGGGGGCUGGGUGGCAAGUUUUUUGGCUUGGGAGGGGCUCGCGGCCUAGCAGCUUGUUGGUGGGGUGAUGGCCUACCAAGGCGACGACGGGUCGCCGGCCUGUGAGGGCGACCGGCCACACUGGGACUGAGACACGGCCCAGUCUCCUACGGGAGGCAGCAGUGGGGAAUAUUGCACAAUGGGCGGAAGCCUGAUGCAGCGACGCCGCGUGAGGGAUGAUGGCCUUCGGGUUGUAAACCUCUUUCAGCUGGGACGAAGCGUAAGUGACGGUACCUGCAGAAGAAGCGCCGGCCAACUACGUG
rnacentral:rRNA from 1 species